UAACUUGUACAAGUGACCAAAAUGUAAGAAAGUUAAAGAAAAUAAAUCUUUUUAUUCUUAUAGUGAGGUGCCUAUUCUCCUAUCCCACUGCUCAGGUUAGAGAUAUUAAAUUACGUUACUGUUGAAUCUUCAAUCUGAAUUUGUUGAGAAGCUAUAGGCAGAAGUCCUAGAAACCCUAAAUACUCUAUUUUACUAAUGGCUCAACAUGGUGUGGUAUACCUUCUAUCUCUUUGGUUCAUUUUUUUAUUUUAAUUUAUGUUUUUUAUUCGUUCCUUUUUUUUUUUUCCGUUCUAUUUCCUGAGUUCCUAGUCCUUUUUUUUUCUUUAUUUCCUUAUAAUCACUUCUACAGUAUUUUUAUUCUGUCAAUGAUCUCAUUUGAAAGACAACUGGGACAUAUACGCAGCAUAUAUUAAAAUCCAUAUAUGAUGUAUCACAUACAUGCUUGCAUGUGGGCAUGAUGCAAUUAGGAAACUUAACAUUUAUAGUAGUUUGAAUUUCGUUGCAAGAAAUUCAUGUUUCACAGGUGUACAUAGACUGAAAUAUUGGAAAUUCAAUUUUUUUAAUAAAAAAAAAAAAAAAAAAAACUGAAAUAUUGCAGCUGAAUACAAACUUGAGCAAAACCGUAAUUUAACAAAGACAGAAUACUGCAAGUAUUAAAAUCUUCAGUUCUUAAAAAAUUGUGGUUGGAAACAAAUUCAUAGAGGAAAUAAUUUCCAAAAGCUUUCUUAGGAAGCUGAAAAAAAUAAAUAAAGUAAAGCAAAACAAUGACGAUCAAACUAAAAAAUUAUUAUUACAAGCGCUGCUUUGAAACAAAACAUAUCAAAGAUCCCAUGUACGCUAACAUGUUUAAUCCUAGUAUUUAAAACAGUUAUUUGUAAGAACUAUGAUACAUAGACAUCCUUAGGUGGCAAUACAUCCCAUUGACACCCACACAAAAAUCUGAGCUAAAUUAGUUCUAAUUCUAUGCAAAGACCAAGGCCAACUGCACUUUAUGACAGGUACUUUUCAGUUUCUAAUGCAAUAUAAACAAGCAAGCAUAGUUCAUGUUUAAUGCAGAAGCCAAGUCAAUGACUCUUUACGACCUAUGAAAACAUGUGGUAGGCUGUAUUACAAUCAUAAAUAAAGCAUCUUAAUAGAGGGAGAAAAAACACAAAUUUUGGGUAGACUUUUCAUUUAGUUCCACAUAUAGAUAGCAUUUGCAAGCAUACAAUAAGCUAAAUCCAAGUUUUGUUACCAAAAUCGACCAAUGACAUUAUGUCGAUUUCUGUUCAAAUGAAUUUUGAAUGGAGCAGUAUGAAACAUAAAGCGUGUUUCAUUAAUUCAUGAAAAUAAUUGCAAUAUUAGGCAAAUAAAGUUGCAUAACAUUGUACACUUGCACUCACCGACUCACGUAUACUAAUGUUCAUAUUCAUGUAUUCCCCCACUAUCGUUUAAAAAAAUCAAUUUGGCGUGUUGCUACACAGUCAAAGAUCCAAAGGAAGUAGAGGACACAACAGGGAGAUAUAUAACAAUGUGAAAUCAAGACAGUGGAACAAAAUAACACCACCUUCAAACCCAAGUUAAAGUUUGAUAUUACAAAUUUCGAUGUUUCUUCAACGGUUGGUCACAAAAUAUGUAGUUGACAAUAAAACGACCUACUUAAUGUACUAAAGCAUGUUACCAACGUUAGGAAUCCACCAGAGCUGAAUUUCAGGUUGAUUUCACGAAAUGGGUAGCUAGCAAUUUGGCAAUCUCGGUGAAGACCACUUUAUCUUUCCCAUCGAAAAUGGUCUUCAGUUUGUCAUCACAAAAGAUCUCCUUCUUGUUAUUAGGAUUCUGCAAAACAAUAUCUCUGUUAAGCCAUUUUGUAAACAGCCACACCACAAAGAGACAAAAAGGAGGAUAAGUUUGAUAAUCCAAGACAAACUAUCCUGCUGAUGUUAAGCAAUAUACCAUGAAGCAAACAAACAAUUUAAGAAAGAGAAAAAAGAUGAAAACAAAACAGAGUAUAGCAGAAUAAAAUCCAACAAUGAUUACAAUAGUUACCAGCAGCUAACAAAUGAACCAAAGAAACAAACAUCUCAAAGCUAAGGAUAUCAUUUAUAGGAACAUGAGAAACCUGCCAUCUACUACUAAUCAAAUUGUAACCAUCCCACCAUCGCAAGGGCUUCAAACGGGUUAGACCAGACAACAGAACUCAAACCUGUGACCUCCAAAAAUCAGACAACAGCAACUCUAGCCAUCACAUCAAGACUCCGAUUUCAAACUAUCAUUACAUCACAGAAUGCAUACUAAAUAUCUCACAGCAAUGUAGCAACACAUUUUCUUUCUUUUAAAUAAACUUUAGCAAUGACCUAUGAAGCACCGACACAACCAGUAAAAUUUAAGAAAAUGACAUAACUGAAUGUAAUCAAAUGUGUUGUGUCAGUGUCAGACACGUGCCGAAUGCCGGACACACCUUCAAUCAGAAGUGUCAAGUGUUAUUGAGGCAACGACUACAUUAACUACAUUGUUUCUUAAUGAUUCUAUACUUUCCAGACGCAACAUCACAAUGAAACAGAUAAGCUCAAUACAAAUUACAAUUCAUUUUUAAUUUCAAAAAUCAUACGAAACAGGACGCAACAACAAUAUCAAAUCACAAGAUUCAAAAAAUAUCCCUAAAACACACCAAUGCGAUUACAACAAACAAUAACCAAAUCAAAUAGCGCAAAAUCAAUCCAUAAAACCUAAUCAAAGUUUUUUAUUCAGUAUCAAAAUAAAUUUCAAACGAGAAAUGAAAAAAUAAAAUCGAAGAUCGCAAAGUGAAAAUAGAAGCAUUGAGUGAAAACGAAAACAAAACCUGAAGAUUCUGCAGCUUGAUAUACUCCCAAACUUUCUUAACAGCUUCAGUCCGCGAAACUUCAGGCGCACCGAUGAAAUUACCGAGCUCAGAAGUGACCUGAACUACCUUCUGUAUCCCUCCGGUACUCUUGCUCGUAACCGUUUUCUUCACCGCGGUUUUCUUCACGACGGUUGUGGAUGCAGCUCCGGCGGAUGUAGCCGCCUUCUUCGUCGCUCCUUUCGCCGCCGCCAUUAACAUUCUGCCGGCGAAUGCUCCGAAAACCCUAGCUGGUGCCAUGAUCGCGAUGAGAAAAAUGUGUUUUUUCAGUUUCAAAAUGCUAAAACCCUAGAGAGAGAGUGUGGGUGGUGUUUUUUUCUAUUUCAGUUUGUUGAAAUGAACCUUGAUUUUAGCUUUGGAACUUUUCGAUAUUUGUUAGUUCUUGCAAUAGGAUACACGUGGCGGGUUUUAAUUGGAUCGUAGUUGUAGGGUUUUUGUAGGGUUUUAUGUGAGUGGGUAAUUGCUUCUAUUGCACUCUUUAAACAUUUUAAAUUAGAAAAUUAUUUUUUAUAAAACUUAAAUAGUUUAAUUUUCAAUGCAUUGAAUAUACAUAUUUUUAUAAAUUUUUAAUGCAUUGAAUAGAUAUGUUUUUAUAAAAAAGUUAUUACUUCCGUUUCUUUUUAAUUGUCACAUUUUGACAUUUUACACAAACCAAAACAAUCAACAAUUGAUACUACUUUUGAUGCAAUAAGCUAUACUUUUACUAUGAUGACCUUAUUCAUUUAAUAUAUCAUUUCAUAUAUUUUUUUCUCCGCAAUAAAUAACUAAGGACAAUAUUGGUAAAACAACAUUUAAUGUUGCAUUGAACUUUGAAAAUGACAGUUAAAUAGAAACAAAAAUUUUCUCCAAAAGUUACAGUUAUAAAGAAACGGAGAGAGUACCAUUUAAGAUUUUAAAGAGUACUUGGGGCAUUCGUUAACAUUUUCAUUUGUGGAAUUGUCGUUUCAAUGCCUACCGUUAUAGUUUUUUUUGUGGUGAUGAUCGAUGUUUGAACCUCGAACCUUGAAUAUUUAAUGCAUUGUUCAUACCAACUGAGCUAAGUUCACGAGGACCUAUCGUUAUAGAUUAUAUCACCACCAUUCAUUCAAUUUUCUAAAUUGCUAUAAAAAGAAGGGGGAAAAAAUUGAUUUUCCCCUUCUUGUUUUCCCGCUAGUUUUGUUUGUCUUUUUUUCAUGUGAGAGUUUUGGUUUGUAUAAUUUCAUGGAUUUAUUAGUUAAAACCUAAAAUUACCAAUUUAACAAUCUAAAAUGAAUUGUUCAAUUUAGAUGAACGGAACCAACAGAUAUGGUGACAUUGAUGAAAUGGUGGGGUAUCCAAAAAAAUUGGAAAAGUAUGAUCAAUUAAUUUUUUUGGUGUACCACUGAAAUUUAGGCUAUAAUUACGUUGCACUUAUUAGACCAAACUGAUGGAAUACAUGUAUGGAUUUGAGUCUUCCAUUUCAAGCAAUAACGUUUUCCUUGCUGCUGUAACUUUUGUUGAAGACCUUGCAAAAGAAAGAGGCAAUUUGGUCGCAACAAGAAAUAGUAUCCAUGACCAAUGUUGAUCCUAAAAACGACAAAACAGGAAGAAGAAGCAAACUCUUGUUUAGGGCAAUGUCCAAAUUGAAUUUGGAAAGGAGGAAAUUACUAGAGGAAAAGGGGGCCUUAAAAUGUGCAUUAAAGAAGGUAAGACAAUAUAUGCAAGUUCUAAUGAGUUUGAACUCCAAGAAAAAUAUGAAAUGGACUGAUCCAACGUGAGGUUAAUGGCAACGUGAGGUUAAUGGCAACGUUUAGCAUGGGAAAAUUGGCAUAUUUCCCCAUCUUAGGUCAAUUUAACAAGGGCCAUUGAUUUAAUGUUAACAGAGAUCAAUGGAUAAGAUUGUUCUUAAAUAUUUACCUUGAACUUGGAUGAAUUUUAAUUUUAAAAAACUGAUAUACCAUUAUUUGAAAUUGUACAAAUCACCUAGGUUUGAUAUAUAUUUAUAAAUUUGGAACAUGUUGAAAACAGUGUUGUUUUACUCUCCGUUACCAAAUUAUUAGUAUUUUUUUUUUAUCAAAAUCAAUAUUUCAUUUUCUUUAUUAUUUAGAAAAACUCGAUAAAUGUUAGUAUUUAAAUUAAUAUUUCCUCAUUCGUUCGGUUUGAAGUCAGAAUCACUAACUUCUUUAACGCUGUUCACUAAAAUCUGAAGGGUAAAUAAUUGAAAUCUUUUCUUUUUUAAGGAGAUUAAGGAAAUAAAAUCUGAAGUAUGAAAAUGUUAGUCACAUUAUUUGGUCUAUGUUUUUAUAUUAAGUUUUUUAAUUGAGAAUGGGGCUGAAAAAGGUUAGCAGGAGUGUUAAAAAAAUAUUGUAUCUCCCUCCGAUAAAGAAAUAAACAAAUUAAUUAGGUUCAAAUUAUAAUUUUGAGCCAGGGGUACAAAUUGGAAUAUAAAAAAAUAGGGAGUACAACUCAUUACAAGUAAAACAAAAUUGAUCUAAGAUGGGAAAAUUUGACAAUUUGCCCAUGCUAAAACUCGCCGAGGUUAAUACAAGAAGACGUGAUGGCCCUUGUGGUUCUGGAUGAUAUGUAGCAAAUGCUUGAUUUUGAAGCCAUAGGGAUUCCUUCUACUUCCUUUUAAUUUCCAAAGGAAUUUCAUCUGCCAAAUUAUGAAUGAGACACAAAGAGCAAACGAGCGUUCAACUAUUCAUUAUUGGAUUGCCAAAUUUUACUCAAAAACCAAAUGUAUGCAAUACGUAAUGUCAGAAUUGUGUUUUCACAUACUUGUCAAUUAUCAUCAAACGAAUAGGAUAGCCAGAUAAAAUAUCAAGUUCAAAUCAAAUGCAAAUAAUAAUAUCAAACAUGACAAAAUUCAACUCAUUACCUUUUAACUCCUAAAAGGGGAACCUAGCUGGUUUAUUCGUUAAUACAUAAUAAAACUUGCUUCCCAGUCACAAGUAAACCAAAAUCAAUCAAAACCAGACAAGAGAGCUCAUGCCAGUAUUUCAACUGCCUAAUCCAGUAACAAUCAUGACAGCAGCGUAUGAUUUUGCAAGGAUAAAAGCCCUUGAUCGGAGCAAAUACACAAAUUCAAUUACAUCUAAUUCUUCUUAAUGAAAUAGUAAUAAUGAGUCAGGUCAGCUUUAUUAAGAUAGUGGUGAAUGAUAAUGGUUUGUGGAAGAUGAAUACUCAAUGACGUCAGCUGUUUGAACAGCAGGAUUUUAGAAAGAAAAUUACAGUUGGACAUACCUCAAAUUUGAUGUAUACAUAACAUAUUUGUGUGCAGGUACCACUUUGAAGUUACAAGGUACAAUUUAUGUGUAAGAGACAACAAUUGUACUUCUACCUUUUGCAGUUUUACUUCUUUUAGUCAUAUUAAUUUUGCUCUCCUUGGAACGAGAAGUCUGGGUGAAGAUCCUCUCCAUUUAUAAAACUAAAUGGAAGAUGCAAUUAGGAGAGAGAUAGAGACAUAAAAUUGGUAGUGGAUCCUACCAUUAAGUGGGUCUCACCGUCAUUAAUUAUUUUUUACUUUUGUGUCUCUUUGUCUCUCUAAAUGGUAGAAAUGGAGAGGAUCUUAACUCGAGAAGGGUUCUAGGCUAAACAACCAUGAAAACCUCAUUCAGGUUGGAUUUGUAGGAUCAGUAAUUUCUCCUGAUAAAUUCCAACAGUAAUUAUACAACUUCAAUUUAGAGUAGACAAGGUGGAAAAUAAAUAAAUAGAAUUAACAAUUGCAAAUAAGAAGAACCGAAUCACAACUGAGUGACUUAGUUUCCGAUGCUUCAUGAACUUCAAGAAAAACAGUGGAAGUGAAAGG
rnacentral:lncRNA from 1 species